rfam:Fusarium oxysporum f. sp. cubense race 4 unplaced genomic scaffold scaffold26, whole genome shotgun sequence.
GGGCGAAUGGUUUAGUGGUAUAAUACUCCCUUAGCAUGUUCUCUACGAGCGUUAUUUGGGAGUGGUCCAGGGUUCGAUUCCCUGUUCGUCCA